GUGGUCAAGCUAAUAAGGGCUCAUGGUGGAUACCUAGGCACACAGAGGCGAAGAAGGACGUGGUUACCUGCGAAAAGUUCCGGGGAGUUGGAAGCAAACAGAGAGCCGGAAAUAUCCGAAUGGGGCAACCCUGAAAACUGUCUGUUGAAUAUAUAGACAGGAAAGAGCGAACCUGGCGAAUUGAAACAUCUUAGUAGCCAGAGGAAAAGAAAUCAAAAGAGAUUCCCCGAGUAGUGGUGAGCGAAAGGGGAAGAGCCUAAACCAAGGGGUAUACCUCUUGGGGUAGUGGGACAGCAACAUCGAAUCCAGAGACUAGACGAAGCAGCUAAAUACUGCACCAGAGGGGGUGAAAGUCCUGUAGUCGAAAGUUAAAGGAUAGAAGCUGAAUCCCGAGUAGUACGGGGCACGAGAAAUCCCGUAUGAAUCAGCGAGGACCAUCUCGUAAGGCUAAAUACUACUGUGUGACCGAUAGAGAACAAGUACCGCGAGGGAAAGGUGAAAAGAACCCCGGGAGGGGAGUGAAAAAGAACAUGAAACCGUGAGCUUACAAGCAGUGGGAGUCCGAUUAAACGGAUGACCGCGUGCCUGUUGAAGAAUGAGCCGGCGACUUAUAGGUACUGGUAGGUUAAAGCGGGAAUGCUGGAGCCAAAGGGAAACCGAGUCUGAAAAGGGCGAUAAUCAGUAUUUAUAGACCCGAACCCUGGUGAUCUAACCAUGGCCAGGAUGAAGCUUGGGUAAAACCAAGUGGAGGUCCGAACCGACCGAUGUUGAAAAAUCGGCGGAUGAGCGGUGGUUAGGGGUGAAAUGCCAAUCGAACCAGGAGCUAGCUGGUUCUCCCCGAAAUG
rnacentral:rRNA from 1 species